GCCAGGUGCGGUGGCCCCUGCCUGUAGCCCCAGCUACUCGGGAGGCUGAGGUUGGAGGAUCCCUUGAGCCCAGGAGUUCUGGGCUGUAGUGCGCUGUGCGGAUUGGGUGUCCGCACUAAGUUCAGCAUCAAUAUAGUGACCUCCCCGGAGCGGGGGACCACCUGGUUGCCUAAGAAGGGGUGAACCGGCUCAAAUCAGAAACGGAGCGGGUCAAAACUCCUGUGCUGAUCAGCAGUGGGAUCGUGCCUGUGAAGAGCCACUGCACUUCAGCCUGGGCAACAUAGUGAGACCCCGUGUCU
rnacentral:SRP_RNA from 1 species